rnacentral:rRNA from 1 species
UACGGAGGGAGCUAGCGUUGUUCGGAAUUACUGGGCGUAAAGCGCACGUAGGCGGCGAUUUAAGUCAGAGGUGAAAGCCCGGGGCUCAGCCCCGGAAUAGCCUUUGAAACUAGAUUGCUUGAAUCCAGGAGAGGUGAGUGGAAUUCCGAGUGUAGAGGUGAAAUUCGUAGAUAUUCGGAAGAACACCAGUGGCGAAGGCGGCUCACUGGACUGGUAUUGACGCUGAGGUGCGAAAGCGUGGGGAGCAAACAGG